rnacentral:tmRNA from 2 species
CCCCUUCCAUUUCGCUUUCCCCGCACCUAUAUUCGCCCCGUCAGCUUGCCUGACUAUGGCGAUAAACGGCCGAUGAAAUAAGCCAUUCGGACCCGGGGGCGGUACCCGGCGCCUCCACCAGAAGCCGCCGUCGUCGAGCGACGGUUUCUGAUGGGGGCGAAAUAGGAUCGACGAGGGUGUAAAGAUCGGACUUUUGCCCGGCAUUGUACCACCGUUAUCGGGCUACAAUUAUAGUUGCCAACGACAACUAUGCGGAAGCACGUCUCGCUGCUUAAUGCGGCGCGAUAGCUUCAAUUCAAGCCCUAGGCCGUCGCAGGUCUAGGCGGGGUCCGGAGGCACCUGGCAACAGAAGCCUCCACU